AUUAGACCUGUUUCAGGUCUGCCCUACAGCUUUCUCUUUAUCCCAGAUCCCUGCAGGCUGCUUGUGGCUUCCUCAGUUCUAAAGCAAAGUUAUUAUGUGUAUAUGCAAGGCCUUCUCAAUCAUUCCCCUGCAUGGCAGGUGGAGCCUAGCAUUCCUCAACACCAGAUUCUCAACACCAGAUUCUUGACGCCUACUCGAAUUCUUGCCUUCAUGUCCUGCUUGUGGGCUUCCCAAAGGCAUCUGGAAGGCCACAUCUUGAAACAGAAUGCUGGACUUGGUGGUCCUUAGAUCUGAUUCAGCAGAGCUACUCAUCUUCUUAUUCAGAAGUGGUUCUAGGGUUAUGUUCUAUUAUGAGUCGCUCAUGGUUACAACUUGUGGGAGAGAUAUUUAGAAAUGAAAAGAUACAAAAACCUGCAAAACCUGUUUACUAGUAGAAAAGGUGGGAUGACUAUAUUCACCAUAAGAUGUGAUCACUCUUUCAAACUGCCCACAGGACUCUCAAAACCUAGUCUUUCUCCAAUUGAAGCUGAGAACACACGUUAUAUAUUGCUUACAAUACCCACAUCUGCAAACAAACAAAUUUGCCUUAUUUACCCAUGUCAAAAUAAGAUCUUACUGGAUUCCAAUGGAUUCCCCCACCCCAGUACCGCCUUUGUUAUUGUGGUAAGUUUGCCUUGCUUUCUGUUCUUUUAAAGCUUCUGGGUUUUGUAGCGUUCCAAAUUUCAUAGUACAUAACUGAGAAAAUUAUAGUCCUAGCUUUCAGUGACUUCCCCCAAUAAAUGCUCAUAAGAAAAGGUGAAUUUCUUCUUGACUACACAACAUAAUUUGGCUUACAAGCUAUUUAUUUAGCAUGAAAGCCGCCACCACCAGAUUCAGCCUGGGAUAUGUUCAUAUUAGCACAAUGUGAAGCCAAGGCUGCUGAAAGGCCAGACAGGACAGAAAUAUGGAAGGGAAUGGUUAUGUAAUGUCUCAGCCAAAAGGAUUAACAUGACUGAAGGACACAGAGCUCGAUUCAGCAAUACUGCCUGCCCCAGGCAUGUCCCUGUGACGUUGGGUUGUAAGAAAGCUUAGGCAUUCUCUUCACUUUUUGCUUCCUUUCGUUCCCCUCAGAAAUGAUUAUUUUCUCAGCAACCCAAAAAGCCUUCAGCAUUCAGUUUUAACCUAAAUCGGUGAUGGACGCUUACAAGACCACAAUCUGAGUCCUUUCUUUGACAAGACUCUUGAGUACUUCGUUGGCACAUAUACGGAGUCAAUUCUGCAGCAACACAAAUCUGGAACAGCCAUAGAAACUGAGAGUGAGAGUGCUUGCCUGGAUUCUGCUGAUGCCACCUCGCAGAGUAAGCCUUCCACCAGGGAAAGCUAAUCAAAUAUUACAGUCAUCUUGUAAGAUGACCAUCUUUGAUUGGUCUAUAAAUGUUACACGCAAUGGCAUGAAUAAUAGAAUCAAAGAGUUGAUGGUUAUGUCACACUUCAACUUGCUAUACAAGGCACCAGAAAACCUCUUAAAUCUUCUUCCCUGUGUGCAUUAAUGUUUUACUUUCCACAAGCAUGACCAAUCUGGGUCCACUUUGCAAUGCACCGUUAUCAUAUGUUUAUUGCCCAUGCACUCUCUCUGUCACACAUGUGAUGUUGCAGUCCAAGUAUGUUUGGGAAUAGAGCCUGGAACAGCUAGAAGCAAAAAUCUGUAAUAGAGACCUUUGUACACUAUACAGUAUACUGAAGACAAAGGAUCUGGAUCACUUAAGAAAACAAUACUGUAACAUUUCCCCACACCCUAAAGGGAUUUAGUAAUCUCUUUAAACCACCUGCAUCAUGUUCCUCCCUCAUCCACUGUCAUCUGGCAGCAGUCAUUUCAUACCAUCAAGCUGCAAGAAAGCAAGUGUUGCUACACCCUCAGUGGGAGAUGAGCAACUUUUGCCUCCUCCUUUUCUUGAACUGCUCCUUUCCAGCUGGUCAUUAUAAGAACUUUGUUCACUGAGGUCUAGUGGCUGAGUGUUUCUUUUUCCCUCCCUCUCAAUGCCUUCUUUUGCGUUGUAUCUUAGAUUCUCAGCACAAUGUCAGAUAUGUUCUUGUAUUUUAUCUUUGUAAGCUGCUCUGGGACCCUUUUUGAGCUGAGGUGGGGUGAAGAUAUUUUAAAUAAAUCACAAUAAAUAUAACACUACAUGCAUGUGAUAGGUUUGUCCCUGAGAGUACUUCCAAUAAAAGACCAAAGGAAACAUUGCUCACAGGGAGAGCAGUAAAAAACUCUGGAAUCCAAAUGAACAUAUUUGGGAAGAGGGAAGCUAACCACAUCUUGGGAUGGUCACAUGACUAUCAUUCUCCAUGUCCCUCCCAGGGUAAGAGCUUUUUGUUGAAAGAAACAAUUUAUAACAAUCCAUGGGGACAUAUAACAAGUUGUCGUGUCUACUGUUAAACAAUUAAGUCCAGUAUUCCUGCUUUCUAGACUUCUGUCAGGCACUAAAGUUGAAUAAGGUUUCAUCUUAAUAUAAAGCAAUGUAUACUUUCACUCUCAAGUAGUAGUCAACUCAUUGUUAUAAUUCCUCUGCAAUUUCAGUUGCACAUAGAAGUUUCUAGGCAACCACAAGAAUAAUAAACAUGGGUGGGUGGAGAAAUGUUCAUAAUGGG
rnacentral:lncRNA from 1 species